rfam:Marinobacter similis strain A3d10, complete genome.
UAUGCGGUGCCUGGCGCCCGGGCUCACAGAGUCCCGCGAUCGGGUAGCGGCAUAACCUAACGAGGU